rnacentral:SRP_RNA from 1 species
UCCGGGCACAGUGGCUCAUGCCUAUAAUCCCAGCAUUUUAGGAGGUCAAGGUGGGAGGAUCACUUGAGCCUCAGAGUUUGAGGCUGCAGUGAGCUAUAACCAUGCCCACUGCACUUCAGACUUCAGCCUGGGUGACAAAGACUCUGCCUCUUAAAAAAAAAAGAAAGAAAAACAUGGUACCCUCCUGGGAGUGAAGGACCACCAGGUUGUUUAAAAAGGGGUAAACUGGCCCAGGAAUGGAAACUGAGCUGGUCAAAACUCCUGUGCUGAUUAAUAGUGGGAUUGCACGUUUGGAUAUCCACUGCACUCCAGCCUGGGCAACACAGUGAGACCCCAUGUCU